GACGAACGCUGGCGGCGUGCCUAAUACAUGCAAGUUGAGCGCUGAAGGUUGGUACUUGUACCAACUGGAUGAGCAGCGAACGGGUGAGUAACGCGUGGGGAAUCUGCCUUUGAGCGGGGGACAACAUUUGGAAACGAAUGCUAAUACCGCAUAAAAACUUUAAACACAAGUUUUAAGUUUGAAAGAUGCAAUUGCAUCACUCAAAGAUGAUCCCGCGUUGUAUUAGCUAGUUGGUGAGGUAAAGGCUCACCAAGGCGAUGAUACAUAGCCGACCUGAGAGGGUGAUCGGCCACAUUGGGACGGAGACACGGCCCAAACGCCUACGGGAGGCAGCAGUAGGGAAUCUUCGGAAAUGGACGAAAGUCUGACCGAGCAACGCCGCGUGAGGGAAGAAGGUUUUCGGAUCGUAAAACUCUGUUGGUAGAGAAGAACGUUGGUGAGAGUGGAAAGCUCAUCAAGUGACGGUAACUACCCAGAAAGGGACGGCUAACUACGUG
rnacentral:rRNA from 1 species